rnacentral:tRNA from 1 species
GCUGGCGUAGCUCAGCUGGUAGAGCAACUGACUUGUAAUCAGUAGGUCGGGGGUUCGAUGCCUCUCGCCAGCUCCA